rnacentral:rRNA from 1 species
UACAGAGGGGGCAAGCGUUGUUCGGAAUUACUGGGGCGUAAAGGGCGCGUAGGCGGCCUGCUAAGUCGAACGUGAAAUCCCCGAGCUCAACUCGGGAACUGCGUCCGAUACUGGCAGGCUUGAAUCCGGGAGAGGGAUGCGGAAUUCCAGGUGUAGCGGUGAAAUGCGUAGAGAUCCGGAGGAACACCAAAGGCGAAGGCAGUGUCCUGGGAAGUACCUGACGCUCAGGUGCGAAAGCCAGGGGAGCGAACGGG